ensembl:snoRNA SNORA74 Small nucleolar RNA SNORA74
CCCAGCAACAGGCAACUGCCUAGGUUGCUUUGUACCUAGGCAAGUAUUACAUUGCUGGGAGAAAGCAGCUAAUAGCUGGCGGGCAUUCUCAGCCUGGUUAAUGCCAAAUU